rnacentral:miRNA from 1 species
CUGCAUACGAGUAGACCCUUUC